UAAACAUUAUAUAUAAAUACACAUAGGCAUAGGUUAUACACACAUAAUGAAGGUAGCAGGUUUCACUGUAUAAGCUGCUUUGAGGAUCUCGUCGUAGCGCGUUGAUGAAGACUUGAUGAACACUUCGCAGUUUGUAGCCUACCCCAACGAGCGAGUAAUUUGCUUGCCCCGUAUGAGUUGAGCGGUACAGUAAGGGGGAACACGUGAUCUCAUCUGAUCCCGUCGAUUUUGUUAUAGGGUGGAGGGUCUGGGUUUUGUGUACAUAAGGUCGUGUGCUCCUCGCUUUUCUCUCUCGCGCGCGCGCUCUCUCUCUCUCUCUCUCUCUCUCUCUCUCUCUCUCUCUUACUCCAAGUGCCACCGCUCCGCCUCCUCUUUUCGCAACAUUGACGCAAUGUAUAAAUGCUGGAACAAAAGGACAACUUCCUUGACGCUUGGCGUAAUUGCAAUAAUAGCUAGAUACAAAGAGGGGCUUCGGUGACACUUGCUGAUGGGAGUCCGGCAUUUUACCGGAAUAUCUUUCCCGCGGCUUCAUUGGCUCGAUGUACGCGUUCAAACGGAUUUGCACUUUGCCAGGUUAUUACAGCUCUGAAGACAAGAACCUUAUAGUGGACACAAGAUAAAGUCAAGCUACUGUCGAGAGCGUGCCUGCCUCGCGUGAGUGAGUGCGUGUGCGCGCGUCCUGCGCGGGGCCUGUCGGUACUGUAGCAGCACAGAAUGGUUUGUGAGUUAUAACGGGGGUGCAGGCCGUACUGUGCUGCGGCAACAACGACAGGA